rnacentral:misc_RNA from 2 species
CCGAGUUUACAACUCCCAAACCCAUGUGAACAUACCUGUCUUGUUGCUUCGGCGGCGCCUCCGGCCCUCACCGGCCGCGGCCCGCCAGAGGACCCAAAACUCUUUUUGCAUUUGAAUACAGUAUUUCUGAGUGACAUGAUUAAAUCAAAUCA